rnacentral:rRNA from 1 species
CAGCAGCCGCGGUAAUACAGAGGGUGCGAGCGUUAAUCGGAUUUACUGGGCGUAAAGCGUGCGUAGGCGGCUUUUUAAGUCGGAUGUGAAAUCCCUGAGCUUAACUUAGGAAUUGCAUUCGAUACUGGGAAGCUAGAGUAUGGGAGAGGAUGGUAGAAUUCCAGGUGUAGCGGUGAAAUGCGUAGAGAUCUGGAGGAAUACCGAUGGCGAAGGCAGCCCCCUGGGCCAAUACUGACGCUCAUGCACGAAAGCGUGGGGAGCAAACAGGAUUAGAUACCCGUGUAGUCCCUGUCUCUUAUAC